rnacentral:rRNA from 1 species
CCUACGGGUCGCAGCAGUAGGGAAUCUUCCGCAAUGGACGAAAGUCUGACGGAGCAACGCCGCGUGAGUGAUGAAGGUUUUCGGAUCGUAAAACUCUGUUGUUAGGGAAGAACAAGUACGAGAGUAACUGCUCGUACCUUGACGGUACCUAACCAGAAAGCCACGGCUAACUACGUGCCAGCAGCCGCGGUAAUACGUAGGUGGCAAGCGUUGUCCGGAAUUAUUGGGCGUAAAGCGCGCGCAGGCGGUCCUUUAAGUCUGAUGUGAAAGCCCACGGCUCAACCGUGGAGGGUCAUUGGAAACUGGGGGACUUGAGUGCAGAAGAGAAGAGUGGAAUUCCACGUGUAGCGGUGAAAUGCGUAGAGAUGUGGAGGAACACCAGUGGCGAAGGCGACUCUUUGGUCUGUAACUGACGCUGAGGCGCGAAAGCGUGGGGAGCAAACAGGAUUAGAUACCCGCGUAGUC